CUGCUGGCAAUUAGAACAACAACCCCCAGCUGAGCUGCUGCGCAGGACAUCUCAGAGAACAUGUUCUGGACCUGUGAUCAUUCUUGUUCCUCUCUUCAGGACUCCCUUCAAUUGACCCAUAUCCUUCUUGAAGAGCAGUGCCCAAAACUGGAUAUAAUACUGACACCUUACAAGUGCUGAGUAGGUUUUAAGGAUUACUUCAAUGUGUCUUACAGUUACUAAUGAAAGCAGAAUUUGGCCCACCAUUGGAUAACAGAAUAAUCAUUAUCACAUUAUACAAAUACCAGUAUACUUAGUAUGUACUACCUCUGGUAUGUGCUCUGAGCUGCUGGAAACAGAAGAUGUCAGAGAGAAGUGGAAAAGGCUGUGCAAAAGUUUUUACUAGGAAGCCAAAGCCACUUACUGGAAAUAAUGGGAAGAAGUCACUAAAGCCAACAAGGCUCGGCAUCAUGCUCAGGAGCUGAGAACUACUUCCACAACCACAACAGAGAGGCACAGAAGCCCUUACAGGCCACUGGUAGCUGACAUACUUCUGGGAGCUGUAUGAAUGAAAAGCAAGUUCAAGAUCGGGAUCUUCUGUCACUGUAGGAAUUAAGAAAUAUAAUAUAAUAGGUGAUGGGAUGUUUUAUCAGAUACAAGCAUGACAAUAUAGGGAUCCAUGAGUUAAGGAAGACAGAAAGAGGCAAUCACCUGGAACACUGAAAAUGCUAAUGUCCUUGGAAAAGAGUGUAAAUGUCUACACAUGUGCUAAUGUAGAAGGAAGGAUAGGAGAAAUGGUGCCAGCCCUGGGAAAAUCUAGAGCAAAUGGCAAAGGAAGUUUCACUGGUGUAUGGAAAAGGUAAGACAAAUAUAUGUGAAGUUUCCAGCUAUAAUGCAAUGAGAAAGCUAGGGGUAUAAAAUGGAACGAGAGAGAGAGAUUAUUUGCUAGUGUGAAUUGAUCUGCUGGAGGCAGCCAGCAUUGGACAGGUAAAGUCUCCCUCGCUAGCCCAGUUAUAAGUAUUCUGAUGAAAUACUUGUAAUUGUAAUGACUGUUGAUGCUGUCAUUGAUAAGUAUUGUAACACUGCUAUAUAAUGUAUUAUUAGUAUUGCAUUGUAAUAUUUUAGAGCAUUCAUUUAAAAGUAACUGUAAAAUUGCUAUUGGUCAUUAGAUUUAAUGAAGGCAUUUUAGCUGAAUUAUUGAGUCAUUCAAAUUCCAACAGGCACAUCCAAGGAUCUUGGCUUCCAUCUACACCAGAUACACUUGAAAGGAAUGGCUAUGUGAAAUUAGCUCAGAGAGCAAAUUAUGGCAUUAACUAAUCAGUUGCAAAUUGUUUCGUAUUGUGAAUCUCACACUAUCAUUUUGUACAGCUCCAAAUCACAAGAUUUCAUGUUGUAGCAUUAUUUGAUCAUAUCGUAUACCAAAUGUUCAACCACAUCUCUAGAAAGUUACUUGUUCGAGGAAGAAGAGAUUGAAUCCUUCUUUGCUUAAAGAUUAGGAGUUCUGGUCUCUCGAGCUUGAAUUAAUAUAGUCACUGAUGAUUUGAAUAAUUUAAAGACUUCUUUUAAGAAUCCAAAAUAAAUUUACUUAUUUUUCAUCCCAACAAGAACAUGGUUUGCAUGCUACAUUCCACAUGGAAACUGACUAUAAUUUUCCAAUAAGAAAUCUUUUAGCUGCAUUUUAAUUGAAGUUGGAAAGCUAAUACAAAUUAUCCCACCUUUCUUUGUGGGAAAGGCUCAUUCAAUAAGAAUAUGCAGGCAGACUACAGAAUUUAAAAAUAUAUUCUCCAUUCAGACAUUUCCUUAGGGACUGAAAACUAGAAAUGAUCCAAAACAAAAAGGUGACCUCUUUCUGAGAAGGUACUGGGUUUUCCAAUAUGUAGAUGUAUUCAUGGCUUCACAGUCUGAUAUAUCUAUAGAUAUCUAUAUAUAUAUAGAGAGAGAGGUCAUAUAUAUAGAGAGAGAUAUAUAUCUAUAUAUAUAUAAUAUAUAUAAAGAAUUUUGA